GAUGAACGCUGGCGGCGUGCCUAAUACAUGCAAGUCGAGCGAACGGACGAGAAGCUUGCUUCUCUGAUGUUAGCGGCGGACGGGUGAGUAACACGUGGAUAACCUACCUAUAAGACUGGGAUAACUUCGGGAAACCGGAGCUAAUACCGGAUAAUAUUUUGAACCGCAUGGUUCAAAAGUGAAAGACGGUCUUGCUGUCACUUAUAGAUGGAUCCGCGCUGCAUUAGCUAGUUGGUAAGGUAACGGCUUACCAAGGCAACGAUGCAUAGCCGACCUGAGAGGCUGAUCGGCCACACUGGAACUGAGACACAGUCCAGACUCCUACGGGAGGCAGCAGUAGGGAAUCUUCCACAAUGGGCGAAAGCCUGACGGAGCAACGCCGCGUGAGUGAUGAAGGUCUUCGGGUCGUAAAACUCUGUUGUUAGGGAAGAACAUAUGUGUAAGUAACUGUGCACAUCUUGACGGUACCUAAUCAGAAAGCCACGGCUAACUACGUG
rnacentral:rRNA from 1 species